rnacentral:tmRNA from 1 species
GGGGGUGCAUUGGUUUCGAUGGGAGACCUGAGGCGACGGAUGCAUACCGGGAAGUCUGUAACCCGUAAACUGCAGGCAAAACCUUAAUUGCGAACCAAGAACUCGCAAUGGCUGCCUAGUUAAUCCUAGUUCACAGCCCGUUCGCUCCGGCAUCGCCUGUGUGCCGGAAGUCGAGCGCCGACUUUGCAGGCUAGCGAUUUGACGCAGGUCAGAGUCAAAAAGCGAAACUCAUCUGGCAUAGUUUGCGCCCGGUUCUUCGCCGCUUCUGCUACCGGGUGCGAGCGAAACUUUAAGCGAAGCGGCUAAGUAUGUAGAUUCCUUCGAAGACGGCUGCCAGACGCCGGUUCGAUUCCGGCCACCUCCAUUU